UUACCGGCGCCCUUCCCUUGAUCGUAUAUUUUGGUUCCAUGUCUCCACAUACGACAUCAAAAAACAAGGAGGGAGAUGAUCGAUGAGAGAGUUUCGACAAGGAACUCGAACAAGUUAAUGCUCUCUGAAGCAACCCGUGUUUGUCUAGUUUUGUUAUACUUGGGGUGUGUUGUUACUCGUUGGAAUGAUUGGGUACCCAUUUUUGUUUUAGCUUGAUCAAUAGAGCUUUUGAUGCCAUCUGGUUUCAAUUUUAUUGUUCUAUAGUUAAAAUGCUCUGAAUGUACUUUUGCUAUUCUAGAUCAGGACAUUAUUAGAGACCCUGCUAAAGAUUUCUGGGUUCUAUUCUAAUUAUUUCUAGAAUUAUUCUGUGGAUUACGAUUUCGCUGCAUCUGCUGCUAUUGGUAUUGAUAUAAGGGAUACAACUGGCCUUCUUCUGACAGGUUGAAAGAUUGCACCGAGUAGUUAUUGGUUGGGAUGUAGUGAAAUCCUUACGUUUCUGAAAAAUUGUAGUACUACUGUCUAGAUUUGAUGAUUUUGAGUUUUGUAGUUUGUUCUCCAUGUGGUACAGGCCUACCCAACACAUGGGUGGAAAAGCAAGAAUAUGUUUGUGAAGCAAUGCUGAAUGAGCAAGUCUGAAAUGAUGAUGUAUGCGUAAUUCAAUCAAAUGUGUACUCGAGAGAAAGAAUUAGAAGACAUGUAUAAACACUUAAAAGAUAAUUCUCGAGUAGAUAGCUGAAAUUUUUUGAUGAAAACAUUGUUUUCAUUUUUCAAUAUUCUUUAGAUUACUCAUUCAAACCUUUCAUUCUGUAUUUGUAGAUUCUGGAGCCAUAGUUCUGGUAGUUUCCCAACAUACAAAGGCAACUAGUUUUUCAUUUGGACAAACAGGUUAGCAGCCUCUCAAAUCAGUGUUGUCGCUUUCGCUUUGAACUUUGUUAUAUAUUUAUCGCAUGUGGAUUGGACAUUUCUUUGCUUGUGGAUGCUCAGAGAAUGUUCAUUUGAUAAGUCAACUCCACAAGUAUGAUGAUAGCUGUGUUGCUUUUGGAUUCUGAAACUAUAUUAUCAUUUAUUCUUAGCAAUGUUAUAGUGAAAAACAUUGCUAUAAAAUUCUUUAGAUUACUCAUUGAACUAGAGGUCUCUUCACUUUCGUUUGGGUCAUGGCAACCAGUGUGAGCCAUGUCAACCAGGGCUCUAGGAUCAUAGAAGCAAUGUUGCAGAAGAACAAGAUUUGUUGCAAUGCAGCUCCAUAGGAACGAUAAAUAGAAACAUAUCAAAUAUUAGCAAAAAUAGAAAUUUUAGGCACAAUAGAAAGGAAUGCUGUAACUAGGCUGGGUGCGAUCGCCAGUAAAAGAAGGAGCAUAUCCGGAAAGUGAUACCAGCAGCAGUAGAGAAAAACUCCUGCUUACAGUGAAAGAAGCUAUCUGCUGAUGAUAACAAGAACAGUACCUAUAGCACCAAUAGCAUACUUUCUUGUUCCCUACUAGUAUGGGGAGCUGUCACCAGGGCCUAUGAUCCAAACCCAUACCUAGAUGCCUUUCUGAUGUCUCUCUCUCUUAGGUUUAGUCUGUAGCCUCACUUCCUUGAUUCUCUCUUUGUUUAGUAAGUCUGAGCUCCCCGCUUUCUUCUUUGUUCUUUCCUCUCUUCAGGAAUAUAGUCAGGCCUUUCCCUUUUUUAGUAGCUAGCGGGCAGGUAGCUUUUUGUAUUUGGCAUUCCUAUUGGGAAGCUAUGCAGUACGAACCCAGAGCCAAGUCACUAUGGUAUCCCCGACUACAAGUAGACUAUUCCGGAGGAAGGGUCAAUUGAUAAUGAUCCUUCUUAUGUGCACGUCGAAUAUCAGUUAUGAAAGAUCGUCCAAGAUCUAUUAGUUGCUUUGUGACUCUGUUCUGAACUUUGCGUAACUGCAUGAUUUCGUUAGUGAAGCAGUUAUGAAUAAGGAAGUCCCAAAUGGAUUAUAUGAUUAUGAUAUUUUUAGGUUACUACUCUUUCUUUCAUUCUGACUUGUACAGAUUUAGUGCCCAUAUUUCAGUUAUUUAUUAAUGCAUGAAACCAUGUUGUUUUGCAUGUUGACAAACAGCUUGGUUAGUAGUGUCUCAAAUCUAUGGUUUUGUCAGACUUUGGUACUUAUACAAUGUACGAAUGUAACGAAGCAGUCUUUUGCAUUGUAGAUUCUGGAAUCUUAGUUCUUAUAUCUGUUUAAAAUCCAAUCAUGCUAAACAUUUGUACAUUGGAUUCUCUUGGCAUAUACACCUUAACAAGUUCUGGAGGCCACUGCAGACCUACUACGAGUAUGUUCUGCACUAGUGAGAAAUGUUGUAAUUGGCUAACAAAGUGUUCUGUUCUUCUACGAAAUAAUGGAUUAG
rnacentral:lncRNA from 1 species